UACAGAGGUCCCAAGCGUUGUUCGGAUUCACUGGGCGUAAAGGGUGCGUAGGUGGCGGACUAAGUCGGGUGUGAAAUCUCCGGGCUCAACCCGGAGGGUGCGCCCGAAACUGGUUUGCUCGAGGAUGGGAGGGGAGACUGGAAUUCUCGGUGUAGCAGUGAAAUGCGUAGAUAUCGAGAGGAACACCGGUGGCGAAGGCGAGUCUCUGGACCAUUCCUGACACUGAGGCACGAAAGCCGGGGGAGCAAACAGG
rnacentral:rRNA from 1 species